rnacentral:rRNA from 1 species
UACGUAGGGGGCAAGCGUUGUCCGGAUUCAUUGGGCGUAAAGAGCGUGUAGGCGGCCAGGUAGGUCGGUUGUGAAAACUGGAGGCUCAACCUUCAGAGGUCGACCGAAACCAUCUGGCUAGAGUCCGGGAGAGGAGAGUGGAAUUCCUGGUGUAGCGGUGAAAUGCGCAGAUAUCAGGAAGAACACCCGUGGCGAAAGCGGCUCUCUGGAACGGUACUGACGCUGAGACGCGAAAGCGUGGGGAGCGAACAG